rnacentral:rRNA from 1 species
UACGUAGGGUGCAAGCGUUGUCCGGAAUUAUUGGGCGUAAAGAGCUCGUAGGCGGUCUGUCGCGUCGGCUGUGAAAACUCGGGGCUCAACCCCGAGCCUGCAGUCGAUACGGGCAGACUAGAGUCCGGAAGAGGAGAGUGGAAUUCCCGGUGUAGCGGUGAAAUGCGCAGAUAUCGGGAAGAACACCUAUGGCGAAGGCAGCUCUCUGGGACGGUACUGACGCUGAGACGCGAAAGCGUGGGGAGCGAACAGG